rnacentral:rRNA from 1 species
CCCUACGGGGUCAUUACUCCCGUGCGGAACGAGGAGGAAUAUCUCCCGUUGACGGUUGAGUCGAUGGCCGCUCAGAGUUUGCUGCCCCAGCAUUGGAUCAUUGUGGACGACGGCUCCAACGACAGCACCUCCAAACUGGCGCUUGCGGCCGCGCGGGCGCAUUCGUGGAUUUCUGUCGUCCAGCGGCCAGACCGGGGUUUCCGAAAGCCAGGCGGAGGAGUCAUCGAAGCCUUCUACGAAGGCUACCGCUGCGUUCAAGCGCGCGAUUGGCAAUGGGUUAUGAAAUUCGAUGGCGACCUGUCUUUCGACAGUGAUUUCUUCGAGCAGUGCUUGCGCCGCUUUCAGAAGGAUCCCAAGUUGGGAAUUGGCGGGGGAGC